GUUACUUUUCUUUCUAUUGGGUGGCUAAGUGCUGCCUCCUCAGACCUUCGAGACAAUGAGACAUUUAUCAGGAAGUGAAGGAAGGACUGGAGUCCAAAUAAGGAGCUGGGAAAUGAUCACUGGUUCCAGCAUCAGUUUCUUGUGUCAUACCAGCAUGGAAACUCAACUAACACUGUGCUCACCUGGGAAAACUGAUAAAAGGCAGACAUGGGCUUCUGGUAGGUGCUGAACUACAGCCACUUGGCCUUCUAGAAGCUAAAGCCAUGUAGCAGUGUUAAGUGGAAGGCCACCUGCUGGUAUUUGCUCUGUGUUCCGCCUCAAAGGGUGGCUCUGAGGACAAAACAAGACAGAGUGGACAGAACAGGUGGUCCCGUGUGGCAGCCACAGAAAUGGCAAAGGGGUGCUGUUCCUCAAAGUGGUU